rnacentral:rRNA from 1 species
CACAAGGGGUGAAGCCUGCGGUUCAAUUGGAGUCAACGCCAGGAAACUUACCAGGAGAGACAGCAGGUUGAGGGUCAGUCUGAAGAACUUACCWGACGAGCUGAGAGGAGGUGCAUGGCCGUCGCCAGCUCGUGCCGUGAGGCGUCCUGUUAAGUCAGGCAACGAGCGAGACCCCUAUCGGUAAUUGCUAACUGCCCAGAGAUGGGUAGAGGCUAGUUACAGAGACUGCCGUUGAUAAAACGGAGGAAGGAAGGGGCCACGGCAGGUCAGUAUGCCCCGAAACUCCUGGGCCACACGCGGGCUGCAAUGGUAGGGACAAUAGGUUCCGACCUCGAAAGAGGAAGGCAAUCCCCAAACCCUACCCCAGUUGUGAUCGAGGAUUGAAACCCGUCCUCGUGAAUAUGGAAUCCCUAGUAACCGCGUGUCNUCNCCGCGCGGUGAAUACGUCCCUGCUCC